rnacentral:tRNA from 1 species
AGCAGGGUAGGCGCUCAGGUCCAGCGUCUGCGCCGCCUGAGGCGGCGCAGGUGGGAUCGGCAUUGAGCUGGCGACGUACGGAUUGUUGCUCUGGCA